AUUUGUCUAAAAAAGCAGCUCAGAUCGACAAUGAAUGUUUAGACAACGAACAAAAAGUGCUUGGUGCUGUGUUAACCGAUUCUGUUAUCAAUGAAAAGUCAAAUGAAGUUUCUGUGAAUAUGAUCGAUGAAAAGUCAAAUGAAGUUUCUGUGAGUAUGACUGAGAAUUCUGUUAUUGAACUGCCUGAACCACCUCGUCCUUGCUCAGAAAAUACUUGUCAGACUUUAGAAAGUUCAUGUCUUCAACAAAGUACCUCUGAACAAGUUU
rnacentral:lncRNA from 1 species